rnacentral:misc_RNA from 1 species
UUUGUCGAUGCGAUAGUGC